rnacentral:rRNA from 1 species
GACGAACGCUGGCGGCGUGCUUAACACAUGCAAGUCGAACGGAAAGGCCCUGCUUUUGUGGGGUGCUCGAGUGGCGAACGGGUGAGUAACACGUGAGUAACCUGCCCUUGACUUUGGGAUAACUUCAGGAAACUGGGGCUAAUACCUGAUAGGAGCUCCUGCUGCAUGGUGGGGGUUGGAAAGUUUCGGCGGUUGGGGAUGGACUCGCGGCUUAUCAGCUUGUUGGUGGGGUAGUGGCUUACCAAGGCUUUGACGGGUAGCCGGCCUGAGAGGGUGACCGGCGACAAUGGGACUGAGAUACGGACCAGACGCGUACGGGAGGCAGCAGUGGGGAAUAUUGCACAAUGGGCGGAAGCCUGAUGAAGAAACGCCGCGUGCGGGAUGACGGCCUUCGGGUUGUAAACCGCUUUCGCCUGUGACGAAGCGUGAGUGACGGUAAUGGGUAAAGAAGCACCGGCUAACUACGUG